GAGUCCUACGGGGGGCAGCAGUAGGGAAUCUUCCACAAUGGACGAAAGUCUGAUGGAGCAACGCCGCGUGAGUGAAGAAGGGUUUCGGCUCGUAAAGCUCUGUUGGUAGUGAAGAAAGAUAGAGGUAGUAACUGGCCUUUAUUUGACGGUAAUUACUUAGAAAGUAACGGCUAACUACGUGCCAGCAGCCGCGGGAAUACGUAGGUGGCAAGCGUUGUCCGGAUUUAUUGGGCGUAAAGCGAGUGCAGGCGGGUUCAUAAAGCUGAAGUGAAAGACUUCGGCUCAACCGGGGAAUUGCAUCAGAA
rnacentral:rRNA from 1 species